rnacentral:sRNA from 1 species
UCCUCCCAGUGCACAGGCUGGUUGGAGUUUCUCUGGGGACCCCUUUCCACCUGGCUGUCUCACUUCUUUCUUCAUGGAACAUUCUCUUUCCUUAGCUUCUUUCUUAUCAUUGUCUUUCAAUAUUUAUUAUUCCUCUCUGGCUGUUCUCAGUUUUUCCUUCAUCUUGUCUUUAAAUGUGUGUGUUCUAGAGGCCCAGCCCUGGGCCCUCUUUUCAUUCCCCUGAGUCCUCUUUCUCCCUGGUUGAUAAUCAUGCCUAAUAAUGUUUUGGUACAUCCAUAAACCUACCAAUCCUGAUGAACCUCCAGUUGCUGAACAGCCCAAACCACUGUACCCGUAUCGAACAAUUGGUUGUGUUUUCAACCAUCAAAUGUUCCUGGGAAAUUGUCAGCCCUCUGAUGCAGUAGAAACCUGUGUAUUUGAUUUGAAUGAUGAAUCUAAAUGGAAACCCAUGAGUGAGGAAGCAAUUAAAUCUGUAUGUGCUCCUGGAGCUACAACAUCCCUUCCUCCCUUUCCACCUCUGUGUGCAUCCACAAUUGACGCGUCAGUAACAAGUAAUGAAAUUGAAAUGCAGCUGAGGCUCCUGGUGUCAGAACACAGGAAGGAUCUUGGCCUCACUACUGUUUGGGAAGACCAGCUCUCCUACCUUUUAUCACCAGCUUUGGCUUCUUAUGAAUUUGAGCGUACAACAAGUAUAUCAGCAGGCAAUGAAGAAUUUCAAGAUGCCAUAAGAAGGGCUGUACCUGAUGGUCACACAUUUAAAGGGUUUCCAAUACAUUUUGUGUAUAGAAAUGCAAGACGUGCAUUUGCCACAUGUCUUCG